rnacentral:lncRNA from 1 species
AAAUAUACCUAAUUAUUAUUUUAAUAUUUUAUUAUUUUCCAUAAUAUUAUAAUAUUAUUUAUAUUAUUCUAAUUUCUUGCACAAUGUUAUUUAUGCAUUAUAUAGUGACGGCUGUUGUAUCUAAGAAACCCAAAUCAUCUCGUGGCACAGUUUGAUAUGUAUCCGCAGGCAUUGGUUGAAUAUUAAAAAAAUCAAAUGCUGUGGCAAAUUAUAAAAUUUAAAAAAAUGCAAGAUUGAUUCAUAUCUAUUCAUGCUAGAAGGAGGAGUAUGCAAUUAUUACAAGAUUCAAGCAUAUAAAAGUAAACAAAAGAUAUUAUACGCAAUAUGGUGUCAAUCAACAGAUGAAAAACUUGACAUACAUAUUUACUUAAAUACAAAGGCUGAUUCAUAAAAAUAAAAAUAUCAGCCACUAUUUACUGCAAACCAUGGCCCAUAGACAACUUUAUGGAGAAUAUAACAGACAAAUUGAAAAGUACUACAUAAUAAAGUAUUUUAAAAAUUAAA